UCUUGUCAGGCUCUUGAGUAGGCAUAGAUAUGUAUACCUGCAAGAUAACCUCCAUGGACAUAGCCAUUGUAGUACUCGCUUGUGUGCUCACCGGUGAAGUAAACCCUCUCAAUCGGGGCCUUAUCUGGUCAUAUUCGUAGCGGUUGACGCCAAUGGGCCAGUUGGAGAAGGUGCCCUUGUAGAACCUGUUUGACCACCAUCUUGGGACGAGGAUGUCAGUGGCGUCAGGGACGUCCUGGUCAGGGAACAUGUUCCUCAGCACCUCCAUGAUCUCUGCCUUGGUCUGGUUGUCCGACUGCUGCUCGAUCCGCCUCGACUCCUUGUCGGUGACCGUGACAAGAAGAACAUUGGAAUCUGGGUAUUGUUUCUCGAACUCCUGAAUAAACACACGCAAAAUUAGGGAGAUAACCUCUCCUGGUGCUCGCGUAGAGGAAGAACUCCCUCCCUUCCCCUUCGGGCCAGAAUCUCUUUGGGAACUUGACGAAUAUCUUGGUGUACACAGCCAUGUCGAAUUCGACAGAGAACUCGAAACUUACAGGCAGCUGUGGCUUGAACUGUAUAAGAUCGCUCUGCAGGACUCCCAAGCUGGCAGAGACCAUGACGAUAGUCUGCCUGGUACACUGAGCCGUCCUCCGUCUUGACGGUGACUCCGCUCGAGGAGUAGGAGAUCUCUCGCACCACCUUGUUGAGCUGCAGGCGGGGGUCGGCGACGUUGCCGGAGUCGUCGGUGUUGAGGUACUGGCCGGCGAGGUAGUGGACGACGGACUCGUAGCCCCGUUUGUCGGCGACGAAGUAGACGUCAUCUCCGAAGUCGCUGAAGGUCCUCUGGGGAACGGCGUUCUGCAGGCUGGUCACGCGCGGCGGCUCGGCGUACUCGUAGUCAUACAGGUAGUAGUCUACCACCAUGUCUACCGGCGACGACGGGCCAUUUGGCA
rnacentral:sRNA from 1 species